AUUUAAAUAGUUUAAUUAAAAAUAUUGAUUUGUGGUGUCAAUGAUAUGAAUUUAUUCAUUUUAGAUU
rnacentral:tRNA from 1 species